rnacentral:lncRNA from 1 species
UAAAUACACGACGUGGGCAUAGGACACGAACUCUCUCAACGUCUCUUCAAUUCUUCUGAGGGCGUGACUUGCGCCAAAAAGCUAGUGGAAUGGUGUGACGCUCGUCACACCAUGUGUGACGCUCGUCACAGGGGUGCUUUUAGUGUGACGCUCGUCACAACCCUUGUGACGCCCGUCACAGGCACAACGUGCGCUUUCUUUGGGCUGGGCUUUGUCUUUGAUAUUUGUUUC